GAGCGCCCCGCAAGGGGAGCGGCAGACGGGAGAGUAACACGUGGGAACGUGCCCUUUGGUUCGGAACAACACAGGGAAACUUGUGCUAAUACCGGAUAAGUCCGUAAGGAGAAAGAUUUAUCGCCAAAGGAUCGGCCCGCGUCUGAUUAGCUUGUUGGUGAGGUAACGGCUCACCAAGGCGACGAUCAGUAGCUGGUCUGAGAGGAUGAUCAGCCUCACUGGGACUGAGACACGGCCCAGACUCCUACGGGAGGCAGCAGUGGGGAAUAUUGGACAAUGGGCGCAAGCCUGAUCCAGCCAUGCCGCGUGGAUGAUGAAGGCCUUAGGGUUGUAAAGUCCUUUCGGCGGGGAAGAUAAUGACGGUACCCGCAGAAGAAGCCCCGGCUAACUUCGUGCCAGCAGCCGCGGUAAUACGAAGGGGGCUAGCGUUGCUCGGAAUCACUGGGCGUAAAGCGCACGUAGGCGGCUUUUUAAGUCAGAGGUGAAAUCCUGGAGCUCAACUCCAGAACUGCCUUUGAUACUGGAGAGCUUGAGUCCGGGAGGGGUGAGUGGAACUGCGAGUGUAGAGGUGAAAUUCGUAGAUAUUCGCAAGAACACCAGUGGCGAAGGCGGCUCACUGGCCCGGUACUGACGCUGAGGUGCGAAAGCGUGGGGA
rnacentral:rRNA from 1 species